CUAUGAUCAAUACUAUGAUGAUGAAUAUUACUUAUGAUUCAUUUCCCCUUAUAGAAAGAGGACAUGAGAAAAUUCCCAACAGCGACAAACACCGGGUGUUUUCUUCCCAUCUGUUCUCGCUUUGGCAGACAGAGUUACUUAGUACCUGUUGCUGGUGGGAGGUGACCGGUAUCCCGUGGAUUUAGUCGAGGUGCGAGCAAACUAUUCUCGCUUUGGCAGACAGAGUUACCUGGUACCUGUUGCUGGUGGGAGGUGACCGGUAUCCCGUGGAUUUAGUCGAGGUGCGAGCAAGCUAGUCUGGCUACCACAGAUAUCCAAAAAAAAAAGGGACAUGAGAAGCCAGGUAACGUAUUUUUCUUUUGUAUUUUGGGGUUCUUCCGGUGUCCAAUACCUGCUUUGGAACCUGACUUAUUCAGAUUCGUGUCAAAAAGUCCUACUAAUACAAUUGUUAUGGCAUGCUUAUGACUAUAUAUUUCAAAAAAAAAGUAUAGUCACACAAAUGUAAUUACUGGCAUUGAUUACAAAUUUCAAAAACUUAUCUUUUAUUCCUAAGAACUCCAAAUUCAGUUAAAUUGAAAUGAAUUAGUAUUUAGCAUCAUCAUUAGAAAGGUUAAUUAUGAAUAUUGUUAGAAUAAUUAAGUUGUAUAUAUUUGGGUUGUGUCAUAUCCCACAUUGGAAAGCUUAUAUGGUGCAACAUGCAUAGUGUG
rnacentral:lncRNA from 1 species